UACUGGAAACGGUAGCUAAUACCGCAUAACGUCGCAAGACCAAAGAGGGGGACCUUCGGGCCUCUUGCCAUCGGAUGUGCCCAGAUGGGAUUAGCUAGUAGGUGGGGUAACGGCUCACCUAGGCGACGAUCCCUAGCUGGUCUGAGAGGAUGACCAGCCACACUGGAACUGAGACACGGUCCAGACUCCUACGGGAGGCAGCAGUGGGGAAUAUUGCACAAUGGGCGCAAGCCUGAUGCAGCCAUGCCGCGUGUAUGAAGAAGGCCUUCGGGUUGUAAAGUACUUUCAGCGGGGAGGAAGGGAGUAAAGUUAAUACCUUUGCUCAUUGACGUUACCCGCAGAAGAAGCACCGGCUAACUCCGUGCCAGCAGCCGCGGUAAUACGGAGGGUGCAAGCGUUAAUCGGAAUUACUGGGCGUAAAGCGCACGCAGGCGGUUUGUUAAGUCAGAUGUGAAAUCCCCGGGCUCAACCUGGGAACUGCAUCUGAUACUGGCAAGCUUGAGUCUCGUAGAGGGGGGUAGAAUUCCAGGUGUAGCGGUGAAAUGCGUAGAGAUCUGGAGGAA
rnacentral:rRNA from 1 species